rnacentral:rRNA from 1 species
CCGUGAACCAGCCAAGUAGCGUGAAGGAUGAAGGUUCUAUGGAUUGUAAACUUCUUUUAUAAGGGAAUAACGUGCGCUACGUGUAGCGUUUUGCAUGUACCUUAUGAAUAAGCAUCGGCUAACUCCGUGCCAGCAGCCGCGGUAAUACGGAGGAUGCGAGCGUUAUCCGGAUUUAUGGGUUUAAAGGGAGCGUAGGCCGGUUUUAAGUCAGUUGUGAAAGUUUGGGGCUCAACCUUAAAAUUGCAGUUGAAACUGGAGACCUUGAGUGCGGUAUAGGCAGGCGGAAUUCGUGGUGUAGCGGUGAAAUGCUUAGAUAUCACGAAGAACUCCAAUUGCGAAGGCAGCUUGCUGGACCGUAACUGACGCUGAUGCUCGAAAGUGUGGGUAUCAAACAGGAUUAGAUACCCUGGUAGUCCACACGGUAAACGAUGGAUACUCGCUGUUGGUGAUAUACAGUCAGCGGCCAAGCGAAAGCAUUAAGUAUCCCACCUGGGGAGUACGCCGGCAACGGUGAAACUCAAAGAAAUUGACGGGGGCCGUCGACGCGGCCG